rnacentral:rRNA from 1 species
AUGGGUCCGGACCUUGGCGCGCUGCUGCACAAGGUGGAGGCUCUCAUGAACGACGUUGAUGCGCUCGUCGACGCGGUCGCGGCGUUCGUCGACCGGGUCGCGGGUAUGAACGGCAUGGAGGAGGAGGAUGGCUUCGCUGCGUUGCUUGACGCGGUCGUGGAGUUCGUCGGCCGGGUCGCGCGUGUCCGUGCCAUGAAGGAGCGCUUCGCUCGGCCAAGAUCGACAGGGUCUGUGGGCAAUGGCUUUCCUCGGCCAAGAUGGAUGUUGGCCUUGGAUGAAGAAGAAGUGAUAAUAACACCUGAAAUGCUAGGUUCGUGCACGCGCCCUGGUCUUGAUGCAAUGAUGAACUAUAUGAAGAGGCGGCUGGAAGCAAUUGAAAAGAAAAAACAAAAGGAAGAGAUGUGA